GCAAGUCGAACGCGUCUCCGUUAAUGAUUUUAGGUGCUUGCACUUGAAAGAUUUAACAUUGAGACGAGUGGCGAACUGGUGAGUAACACGUGGGUAACCUGCCCUUGAAGUAGGGGAUAACACUUGGAAACAGGUGCUAAUACCGUAUAACAACCAAAACCACCUGGUUUUGGUUUAAAAGACGGCUUCGGCUGUCACUUUAGGAUGGACCCGCGGCGUAUUAGCUUGUUGGUAAGGUAACGGCUUACCAAGGCGAUGAUACGUAGCCGACCUGAGAGGGUAAUCGGCCACAUUGGGACUGAGACACGGCCCAAACUCCUACGGGAGGCAGCAGUAGGGAAUCUUCCACAAUGGACGAAAGUCUGAUGGAGCAACGCCGCGUGAGUGAUGAAGGGUUUCGGCUCGUAAAACUCUGUUGUUGGAGAAGAACAGGUGUCAGAGUAACUGUUGACAUCUUGACGGUAUCCAACCAGAAAGCCACGGCUAACUACGUGCCAGCAGCCGCGGUAAUACGUAGGUGGCAAGCGUUGUCCGGAUUUAUUGGGCGUAAAGCGAGCGCAGGCGGUUUUUUAGGUCUGAUGUGAAAGCCUUCGGCUUAACCGGAGAAGUGCAUCGGAAACCGGGAGACUUGAGUGCAGAAGAGGACAGUGGAACUCCAUGUGUAGCGGUGAAAUGCGUAGAUAUAUGGAAGAACACCAGUGGCGAAGGCGGCUGUCUGGUCUGUAACUGACGCUGAGGCUCGAAAGCAU
rnacentral:rRNA from 1 species